rnacentral:rRNA from 1 species
AGAGCGAACGCUGGCGGCAGGCCUAAUACAUGCAAGUCGAACGGAUCCUUCGGGAUUAGUGGCGGACGGGUGAGUAACACGUGGGAACGUGCCCUUUGGUUCGGAACAACUCAGGGAAACUUGAGCUAAUACCGAAUGUGCCCCCAUCCUUAAACAAGAUGGGUGGGAAAGAUUUAUCGCCAUUGGAGCGGCCCGCGUCUGAUUAGCUAGUUGGUGAGGUAAAGGCCCACCAAGGCUACGAUCAGUAGCUGGUCUGAGAGGAUGAUCAGCCACACUGGGACUGAGACACGGCCCAGACUCCUACGGGAGGCAGCAGUAGGGAAUCUUGCGCAAUGGGCGAAAGCCUGACGCAGCCAUGCCGCGUGAAUGAUGAAGGUCUUAGGAUUGUAAAAUUCUUUCAGCGGGGACGAUAAUGACGGUACCGCAGAAGAACGCCCGGCUAACUCGCGCCAGCAGCCGC